AACGAUAUUGAUUGACUCGAU
rnacentral:miRNA from 1 species